CGAAUCAGUCUUCGCUUAGUUCUUGUGUUGUCAACAAGUGUCUGCCGCAGUGCUUUGAAAUCGACUACUGUAGGUGCUGUCAAGGUUUAGAAACGAGCCAAGAUGGGUGAAAACUCUGAUGAAUCCUUUUAUCUCUCUGACAAUGCUAAUGGAGGUGAAGGCUUGAAUACCUGGGAUCCCCUUGUAGAGUUCAAAUGGGAUGUUGAUAAAAUUCUGGAG